rnacentral:rRNA from 1 species
GAUGAACGCUAGCGGGAGGCCUAACACAUGCAAGUCGAGGGGCAGCAUUGUAGCUUGCUACAGAUGGCGACCGGCGCACGGGUGAGUAACGCGUAUGCAACCUGCCUUAUACUGAGGGAUAGCCCAGAGAAAUUUGGAUUAAUACCUCAUGGUUCUAUAGAGUCGCAUGGCUUAGUAGAUAAAGAAUUUCGGUAUAAGAUGGGCAUGCGUGACAUUAGAUAGUUGGUGAGGUAACGGCUCACCAAGUCGACGAUGUCUAGGGGUUCUGAGAGGAUGAUCCCCCACACUGGUACUGAGACACGGACCAGACUCCUACGGGAGGCAGCAGUGAGGAAUAUUGGUCAAUGGGCGCAAGCCUGAACCAGCCAUCCCGCGUGUAUGAUGACGGCCUUAUGGGUUGUAAAGUACUUUUAUCUACCAAGAAAAGCAGUUACGUGUAAUUGUCUGACGGUAGUAGAUGAAUAAGCACCGGCUAACUCCG